rnacentral:rRNA from 1 species
CAGCCGCCGCGGGAAUACGGAGGGAGCUAGCGUUAUUCGGAAUUACUGGGCGUAAAGCGCACGUAGGCGGCUUUGUAAGUUAGAGGUGAAAGCCUGGAGCUCAACUCCAGAAUUGCCUUUAAGACUGCAUCGCUCGAAUCCAGGAGAGGUGAGUGGAAUUCCGAGUGUAGAGGUGAAAUUCGUAGAUAUUCGGAAGAACACCAGUGGCGAAGGCGACUGACUGGACAAGUAUUGACGCUGAGGUGCGAAAGCGUGGGGAGCAAACAGGAUUAGAUACCCCCGUAGUCCCUGUCUCUUAUAC